GACAGAGGAUGCAAGCGUUAAUCGGAAUUACUGGGCGUAAAGCGUGCGCAGGCGGUUUUGUAAGUCUGUCGUGAAAUCCCCGGGCUCAACCUGGGAAUUGCGAUGGAGACUGCAAGGCUAGAAUCUGGCAGAGGGGGGUGAGAAUUCCACGUGUAGCAGUGAAAUGCGUAGAGAUGUGGAGGAACACCGAUGGCGAAGGCAGCCCCCUGGGUCAAGAUUGACGCUCAUGCACGAAAGCGUGGGGAGCAAACAGG
rnacentral:rRNA from 1 species